UUAUGUUACAUUUUUAAGUUGAGGAAUUGUAAUGUUACAACUAGAUAAGUUUAGGGAUAGUUGUCAAAAUUUAUCCUAUUUUUUUAGCUCUUAAUUAUUUAGGUGCAUUUGAUAACUUUUUUUUUCUGCAACAAUUAAUUUUGAAAAAUCAUUUAACUUAUGAAGUGCAAAAUUCUACUUAAUGUGAUUAAGUUGAUUAAAAAAAACCCAUCAUUUGGUGGCUCUUAUUUACAAACAUCAUUAACACAGCCUUCAAUCCAAACACUGCCACCAUGACCAUGGCUACCACCAUGAUUGUCGCCUUGCUGCCAUUACCAUCUCCCCCAAUCCCUCUCUGAGUCUCCCCCUCCCCCA
rnacentral:misc_RNA from 1 species